rnacentral:rRNA from 1 species
UACGUAGGUGACAAGCGUUGUCCGGAUUUACUGGGCGUAAAGCGCGCGCAGGCGGCCUUUUAAGUCUGCUGGUGAAAUGCCGGGGCUCAACCCCGUGCCCGCCACAGAUACUGGGAGGCUGGAGACGAGUAGAGGCAAGCGGAAUUCCGGGUGUAGCGGUGGAAUGCGUAGAGAUCCGGAAGAACACCGGAGGCGAAGGCGGCUUGCUGGGCUUGGUCUGACGCUGAGGCGCGAAAGCGUGGGGAGCGAACAGG